AAUAUUGGACAAUGGGGGCAACCGUGAUCCAGCCAUGCCGCGUGUGUGAAGAAGGUCUUCGGAUUGUAAUGCACUGUAAGUUGGGAGGAAGGGCUUUAGGUUAGUACGCUGAUGUUUUGACGCUACCAACAGAAUAAGCCCCGGCUACCUCUGUGCUAGCAGCCGAGGUAAUACAGAGGGUGCAAGCGUUUAUCGGAAUUACUUGGUGUAAAGCGCGCCUAGGUGGUACAGUAAGAUGGGUGUGAAAUCCCCGGGCUUAACCUGGGAACUGCUUUCAUAACUGCUGAGCUGGAGUACGGGAGAGGGUAGUGGAAUUUCCUGUGUAGCGGUGAAAUGCGUAGAUAUACGAAGGAACCCCAGUGGCGAAGGCGACUACCAGGACUGAUACUGACACUGAGGUGCGAAAGCGUGGGGAGCAAAC
rnacentral:rRNA from 1 species